UGGGGAAUAUUGGACAAUGGGCGAAAGCCUGAUCCAGCAAUGCCGCGUGAGUGAUGAAGGCCUUAGGGUCGUAAAGCUCUUUUACCCGGGAUGAUAAUGACAGUACCGGGAGAAUAAGCUCCGGCUAACUCCGUGCCAGCAGCCGCGGUAAUACGGAGGGAGCUAGCGUUGUUCGGAAUUACUGGGCGUAAAGCGUACGUAGGCGGUUAUUCAAGUCAGAGGUGAAAGCCCGGGGCUCAACCCCGGAACUGCCUUUGAAACUAGAUAGCUAGAAUCUUGGAGAGGUCAGUGGAAUUCCGAGUGUAGAGGUGAAAUUCGUAGAUAUUCGGAAGAACACCAGUGGCGAAGGCGGCCCUCUGGUCCAGUACUGACACUCAAGUGCGAAAGCGUGGGGAGCAAACAGGAUUAGAUACCCGUGUAGUCCCUGAGCGGGCUGGCAAGGCG
rnacentral:rRNA from 1 species